rnacentral:rRNA from 1 species
AUUGAACGCUGGCGGCAUGCUUUACACAUGCAAGUCGAACGGCAGCGCGGGCUUCGGCCUGGCGGCGAGUGGCGAACGGGUGAGUAAUACAUCGGAACGUGCCCAGUAGUGGGGGAUAGCUCGGCGAAAGCCGGAUUAAUACCGCAUACGACCUGAGGGUGAAAGCGGGGGAUCUUCGGACCUCGCGCUAUUGGAGCGGCCGAUGGCAGAUUAGCUAGUUGGUGGGGUAAAGGCCUACCAAGGCGACGAUCUGUAGCUGGUCUGAGAGGACGACCAGCCACACGGGGACUGAGACACGGCCAAGACGCCUACGGGAGGCAGCAGUGGGGAAUUUUGGACAAUGGGCGAAAGCCUGAUCCAGCAAGGCCGCGUGUGUGAUGAAGGCCUUCGGGUUGGAAAGAACUUUUGGCGGGAACGAAAAGGACUGUGCCAAUACCACGGUUCGAUGACGGUACCGGCAGAAUAAGCACCGGCUAACUACGUG